rnacentral:rRNA from 1 species
UACGUAGGUGGCAAGCGUUAUCCGGAAUUAUUGGGCGUAAAGCGCGCGCAGGCGGUCCCUUAAGUCUGAUGUGAAAGCCCACGGCUCAACCGUGGAGGGUCAUUGGAAACUGGGGGACUUGAGUACAGAAGAGGAAAGCGGAAUUCCACGUGUAGCGGUGAAAUGCGUAGAGAUGUGGAGGAACACCAGUGGCGAAGGCGGCUUUCUGGUCUGUAACUGACGCUGAGGCGCGAAAGCGUGGGGAGCAAACAGG